rnacentral:rRNA from 1 species
UACGUAGGGGGGCUAGCGUUGUCCGGAAUCAUUGGGCGUAAAGAGCGCGUAGGCGGCCAGAUAAGUCCGGUGUGAAAGUCAAAGGCUCAACCUUUGAAUGCCGCUGGAAACUGUCUGGCUAGAGUCCGGGAGGGGCGAGUGGAAUUCCUGGUGUAGCGGUGAAAUGCGCAGAUAUCAGGAGGAACACCGGUGGCGAAGGCGGCAUCCUGGACCGGCAUUGACGCCUGAGGAGCGAAAGCCAGGGGAGCAAACGGG